GGCGCUCUGGCCGAGUGGUUAAGGCGUUUGACUCGAAUGAUCUUUCACAUCUUCAGCUAUCAAAUCCUUUCGGGGGCAAGAGUUCGAAUCUCUUGGGCGUCG
rnacentral:tRNA from 1 species